AGCCUUACCUCAGGUCUACCAUUCUCUAUGGUUCAGUGAACAUGACCGACUUCCCUCAUCUUCUUUGUUGCCAUCCUCAUGGUCAUGGUAGUAAACCACCUUGUUCUUCUUCUUCUUCUUCUUCUUCUUCUUGUUUACAGUACAGUCAACUGGAGCCUGAUGUUUCAAAAGAAGGCCGGCCGGUGGACCAACCCUGGAUGAAUAGAUGGUGGAAGAAGACAAACCGGUGGCUGAUAUCCGUCCCGGGCAUUUGAUCUCUCCAUGUGUUGCUGCAUGCUGUCAACAGAAGUGUAUCCAUCAGCUGCUGAAAGGUAGAUGAGGGUGAUGCAAGACAGUGGGUUAGUCAAGUACAGAUUGGACUUUUGUCUCCUUGCUCAGAAGAAAUCCAUCAGUUUAAGCUGCUUGUACUGCGAUGCGUUCAGAAAUGACUUCUCUGUCGUAUUUAAUGGCUAUGUCUCCACCCUAAACAAGCUGUGAUUUCCAACUCUUGCUGUCCAAUAGAGAAUACAUCUCAUUCACAAUCAAAGGGGAAACCCUUCUCGUUGGAUGCCAUCACCCCCUGUUUGUUUUGUGACAUUGCCUGGUCUCUCAAGUAGACUGCUUGACCGAACUACUAAACAUAAAUGAGUAUAUCUGAUUGCUAUUCCACUAUUGCUCUCUGGACACCAAAAUCCA
rnacentral:lncRNA from 1 species